GACGAACCGUGCAAACGUUAUUCGGAAUCAUUGGGCUUAAAGGGCGCGUAGGCGGCGGUGUAAGUUGGAAGUGAAAUCCCAUCGGCUCAACCGUGGAAUUGCUCCCAGUACUGCAUCGCUCGAGGGGGAUAGGGGUCUGCGGAACUACCGGUGGAGCGGUGAAAUGUGUUGAUAUCGGUGGGAACGCCAGUGGCGAAAGCGGCGGACUUGACCCUUCCUGACGCUGAGGCGCGAAAGCUAGGGGAGCAAACGGG
rnacentral:rRNA from 1 species